UAGGGAAUCUUCGGCAAUGGGGGGAACCCUGACCGAGCAACGCCGCGUGAGUGAAGAAGGUUUUCGGAUCGUAAAGCUCUGUUGUUAAGGAAGAACGAGUGUGAGAAUGGAAAGUUCAUACUGUGACGGUACUUAACCAGAAAGGGACGGCUAACUACGUGCCAGCAGCCGCGGUAAUACGUAGGUCCCGAGCGUUGUCCGGAUUUAUUGGGCGUAAAGCGAGCGCAGGCGGUUAGAAAAGUCUGAAGUGAAAGGCAGUGGCUCAACCAUUGUAGGCUUUGGAAACUGUUUAACUUGAGUGCAGAAGGGGAGAGUGGAAUUCCAUGUGUAGCGGUGAAAUGCGUAGAUAUAUGGAGGAACACCGGUGGCGAAAGCGGCUCUCUGGUCUGUAACUGACACUGAGGCUCGAAAGCGUGGGGAGCGAACAGGA
rnacentral:rRNA from 1 species